GCAGGGCAGAUACUCAGCUCACAUACGUUACUGCAAACCCAUCUCUCAUGACUGCCUUGAAGAAAACUAAGUUUGGAGGGCAAACUGCCAUACGAAAAUGUGGAAAGACAGAUGAAUCUGCAGAGUCAAAGACAAGAUCUGCUUACCUGGAGCAGAAGCCAUAAACUGAGAAACUGGACUUCAACAGAAAGGGAGAAAUAAAGACUAUCCCAGGCUCUGAAAGACAUACGAAAGUAACUUCUUCAGGGAGAAGGAAAAUCAUAUAGAUAUCUGAAAAAUGAAAAAGAAAGACAUGUUAUUUUCUGGAGAUGGGGAGACAAGUGAACAGAUGUGGAGUUUACUGAAGCUUCAAAGAGUAAUUCAAUCCAGAUUGUGAAGAAGUCUUAGUGCCAAUUGCUCUGGCAGCCAUGUUAUGACCAUGAGACAAUCAGCCAUAGAAAGAAAUAUUCUGCAUGAUAGUUUAGA
rnacentral:lncRNA from 1 species